rnacentral:rRNA from 1 species
AUUGAACGCUGGCGGCAGGCUUAACACAUGCAAGUCGAGCGGGGUGAUGGUGGUUGCACUAUCACUUAGCGGCGGACGGGUGAGUAAUGCUUAGGAAUCUGCCUAUUAGUGGGGGACAACAUCUCGAAAGGGAUGCUAAUACCGCAUACGUCCUACGGGAGAAAGCAGGGGAUCACUUGUGACCUUGCGCUAAUAGAUGAGCCUAAGUCGGAUUAGCUAGUUGGUGGGGUAAAGGCCUACCAAGGCGACGAUCUGUAGCGGGUCUGAGAGGAUGAUCCGCCACACUGGGACUGAGACACGGCCCAGACUCCUACGGGAGGCAGCAGUGGGGAAUAUUGGACAAUGGGGGGAACCCUGAUCCAGCCAUGCCGCGUGUGUGAAGAAGGCCUUAUGGUUGUAAAGCACUUUAAGCGAGGAGGAGGCUCUUUUGGUUAAUACCCAAGAUGAGUGGACGUUACUCGCAGAAUAAGUACCGGCUAACUCUGUGCCAGCCGCCGCGGUAA